rnacentral:rRNA from 1 species
GUCUGUGUGUUUAUGGUACAUAGUCUAACCUGCCCCCUGAUAAGAUUUUUAAAGGGCUGCGGUAAUUUGACCGUGCAAAGGUAGCAUAAUAGUUAGUUUUUUAAUUGAGAGCUUGUAUGAACGGUUGGAUGGGAAGAAGAUUGUCUCUUUAAGUGGAAUUUUGAUUUUAACCUUUAUGUAAAAAGGCAUUAAUGGUUUAGGGGGACGAUAAGACCCUAUAAAACUUGUACAUAGUUAGGGAUUAUUAAUUGAUUUAUUUAGUAAAUAAUGGGAGUUUGAACUGUGAUUAGUUGGGGUGACUGAAAUAUAAGGGGUGAUAUAUAACUAUUUCAUAAUAUGUAAUACUUAUUAGUAGUUUGUGAUCCUUCUAAUGUAGAUUAUUAAAUUAAGUUACUUUAGGGAUAACAGCGUAAUUUUUCUUGAGAGUUCCUAUCGACAGAGUAAGUUGCGACCUCGAUGUUGAAUUAAAAUUUCUUUUAAAUGAAGCAGUUUAGUGAGUAGGUCUGUUCGACCUUUAAAAUUUUACAUGAUUUGAGUUCAGACCGGUGUGAG